UUCCGGGAAUGAAGUUCUCCCCCGGCCUUCUGAGGCCCAAACCGCUUUUUGGCUGAUGACUUCUGCGA
rnacentral:ncRNA from 1 species